GGACACCAAACCAAAAACGUGAAAUGUAAAGGAAAUUAGGUGGAGAGAAGAUUAAAAUCCCUGCUGCCGACAGCUCUCCGCAGUGAGAUGCGAUUACUCAGGGUUUCAGAGCCUAGUCUGCUCGUCAAAACCCAGUCCCCUCGCUUGCGUUUAAAGACAGAAGUCAAAAUGAUACGAGGGACUAGUCCCAGUUCGCAGUAGAUUUGGAAAACGCGAUGUUUAACUAGUGAUGCCCCUAAAAUGUCGAACUACGUAACGUUGCAGGCUGCAGGGCGUGUGCCCGGCUGUGUGUUUUCCAAGCUUGGAAGUGACGUUUAAAGAAAUUGAAUAGCAUAGCUGGGGAGAAAAUGUAUAGGGGAUGGGUGGAUUAUUAUCUCGGGUAUCAUUUCUUAAUUGAAGCCCUAGGGGAAAAAGCUGCUUGUUUUACUCGCCUGUCUGUAGCCUGAUUCCCCUCGGAAAUUCGAGGGAGACAUUUUGCAGGGUUUUUAGAGGUAUUUAACACAUCGUAAUUGUGGGAACUGAUCCAGGUGGCUAACUGAUGUUGACUGCAACCGCAGGUAUCUGCGUGCAUUUUUUUUCAGAUGCUUUCAGUUUAAUUUGCAUAUAAAUGGAUUGUGCGUUUAUGAAAUUAAAUGUCCUAUCAUAGAUGAUCUACAGUUUUAUAUUUUAUAAGUGAGGAAAACCAAUAUGAUUAAAACAUGUAGAUUAAUCCUGGUGGGGCCAGUUGCUGGGUUUUUUGCUAUCAUCAGCUCUGUGUUGUAAUUUCCUCCCUCCUACAGCCUGACUCCUCAUAUGACUAAUUUUAAGAAUUUAGCUUUUUGGUUUCAUAAGCACGCUCCAAUUGUGGCAAUGCAGUCUAGUCCUUAGUUCUCUCACAGCCUGGGCUACGUGCUUUUUUGUAUGACCUUGGGCAAGGCCCUGGGUUCGUCUCUGCUUUAGUAAAAUACGAAUGACAGGUAUCACUUAUCUGUCACCGAGGUGUUCACAGAUCACAUGUAUCCCAUAUUGUGAUCUAGUUCAUUCUUUCAUCUUGCCUAGGAUAAAGCAAACAAGCAAAAAGCUGAGGCUUUUCUUUGUACUGCCAUCUUCUUGAGCUAUUAGGUAAUGUUGACAUACUGCUAGAAACAAAAAAAAAAGGUGAAGUAUUAAAAUUACGUAUUUCUUGGUGUAGUGGUUAAUAGCUUUAAAUAUGCAAAAUUGAGGUAUGUUAAGGACAGGCCAUCUUUUUUACUUUUAAAAAAAUCAUUGUUUUGAAGAAAUGUUCAAAAGAAUAAUGAAAAAAGGAACUGACAUUCCUAGAAAAUUUGCAAAAUACGAAAGCCAAAAAAAACAAAAACAAAACCCAAAACAAAACCAAAACCCCACACCGAAAACCUAUCACCUAUUGAUAACCAAAGUUAAUAUUUUGUGUAUCUGUGUGUAAUUACAGCUGUGUAAAUAUAUACAAGAGUAGAUCAGUGUAUGUGUCCAGAUAAGGAAAGUUAAUAUUGAUUGAGCAUUUACUCUGUGCCAGUCAUGGUACUAAGUACUUUACAUCCAUUAUUUCACUUAAUCCUCACAGAACCCCUUUGAGACAGCAUUUGAUGUUGUAUAGAUGACGUUAAAUGAUGAAGCCAAGACUCUCUAGAGGCUCGAUAACUUGCUCAAGGUCACAGCUUCUAAGUAGUGAUUACAAGGGUAAAUACUCAACUACUUAAACACAGGCUUAGGGCCCAAAUAUAAGCAUAUACAUUAGCAGAUACAUAUACAUUUGUAUUGUCUUAUGCACCCACACAUAUGUACUCAGGCACAUCUUUGUACAUACAUGCAGUUUUAUGGGCCCCUGAUGAUACUUUUACACACUUUGUGCAUAUGUGUACAUGAAUGUUUACAUACCCACAUGUUCUGAAACACAUUUGCCUUCUCAAGUUUGCAUGUGUGUGUAUUGAGCACAUAUAUGUAGAAAGGCAGACACUAUAGCUGUAUAAUGAGAUGGGUUCAUAUUUUAACAUCUGCAUAGCAUGCAAUUGUAUGGCUAGACUGUAAUUUAAUCAGUUGCCUGUUGUUGGUCUCUAAGGGUGUUUAUAGUUUUUUUCAGUCACUAAAGUUUCUUUUACAUACAUUUUCAACUGUUUCCUUAGUAUAAAUUUGUAGUGGGUGGAAAUGCUUGGUCAGAGAAUAUACGUAUUUAAAAGGCUUUCGAAUUAUGGAAUGUUGUUGAAUUGUCUAGGCAACCUGAUAGAAGCAUGGUACUUUUUGGUUGUCACAAAGGGACCUCUGACUUCUAUUUGAUAUGGUUAGGCAAAUUGAGCUGGUCUUCUAAUGAAGUAAAUGUAGGAGAAAACUAUGAUUCAUUCAUAACUGCAAGCAAUGGUUUUGCCUUUAUGGUCUUUUGAUUGGUAGAGCAAUAUGUCCCUAAUUUGAAUUUAGCAUCACCCCAGACUAUACAGAUAGUCUGGGCUCAUAAAUUUCCUGUGGCUUUAUUUUUUUCUCUUUGUGUUUUAAAACAUGAGCUUGUGUCUCCAUCCAUUCUGAAGCACUGUUUCAGAAAGCUCUAGGUAGGCCCAGUGUUGAGAAACUUGUGUGCUGCUCUCUCUCAGGCCAUUUACCCUAUUCAUCCAUUCCAAGCUACCUUUGCCUCACUGUUAUAGAUCAUGGGCUAUAUCGUGCAUUUUCCCAAAUACUUCCUGAAAUGUUUUGAGAUAUUUGGAUUUAAAACCAGUGAAAGUAGGCAAUGAUGACUCUGCUGUAUCUGCUUAAAAACAGGCUGCAGAAUGUUUGUUUUAGAUGACUCCCUGCCUGCUAAAGAAGUGAGUUGCUUGUGGCAUCACUAAUAAGUUUGUAUUGUAGUCUGCUGGCGUUGUAGAUCAGCUUUGGGUAAGUUCUUUCAGGAUUGUGAAGUAAGGUUUUGAUAAAUGAGGGAAAGAAUUUCAUCUCUGGCAGGCCAAACAUUUGGCAUGUUCAAGUGUUAGAUGACGUCAUGAUUCUAGAGGAAGGAGUGAAUGCUUCCCCUGUGGUUCUUUUUUUAAUUUUUAUUUUGUUUAGUAUAUUCACGUUGUUGGGCAGCCUUCAUUUCACCACCCUCCAUUUCCAGAAAAUCCUUACCCCUUAGACAGUAACUGUCUUAUUUCCCCCUCCCCAAGCCCCUGACAGCCACCAUUCUGCUUUCCAUCGGUGAAUUUGAUUACUCUGAGUACCUCAUAUAGGUGGAGUGAUACAGUAUUUAUCCUUUUGUGAUUGGCUUAUUUCACUUAGCAUAAUUUCCUCAUGGUCCAUCCACAUUGUGUCAUGUGUCAGAAUUUCAUUCCAUUUUAAAGCUAAAUAACAUCCAUUGUAUGUGUAUACUGUAUUUUGUUUUAUCUGUCAAUACAUUUUAGCCAUUGUGAAUAAUACUGCUGUGAAUAAUGGGUAAAUAAGUUUCAAAAGAGUCCAAGCUUUGAAUUCUUUUAGGUAUAUACGCAGAAGUGGAAUUGUUGGUUUAUAUGGUAUUGCUUACCUGGUAGCUCAGCUGGUCAAGAAUCUGCCUGCAAUGCAGGAGACCCCAGUUUGUUCCCUGGUUCAGGAAGAUCCCCUCGAGAAGGGAUAGGUUACCCACUCCACUUUACUUGGACAUAGAUGGUAAAGAACUCGCCUGCAACGCGGGAGACCUGGGUUUGAUCCCUGGUUUGGAAAGAUCCCCUGAAGAAGGGAAAGGCUACCCUCUUCAGUAUUCUGGCCCAGAGAAUUCCAUGGACUGUAUGGGGUCCAAAGAGCCGGACUUGACUGAGUGACUUUCACUUUCACUAUGGUAUUGCUAGUUUUAAUUAUUUGAGAAACUGCCAUACUGUAUUCCAUAGCAGUGCACUGUUUUAUAUUCCCACCAGCAGUGCAUAAGCAUUCCAGUUUUGUCACAUCCUCAUCAACACGUAUGCUUUCUAUUUGUGUUUUGUUUUUGUUUUUGAUAAAGCCUGGGUGUGAAGUGGCAUCUCAUAAUGGUUUUGGUUUGCAUUUCCCUGAUAAUUAGUGAAACUGAGCAUCUUUUAUGUGCUUGUUGGCCUUUUGUACAUAUUGGAGAGAUGUGUAUUCAAAUCCUUUGCCAAUUUUUGAAUUGGGCAAAUUCAAACAUUCAAAUUUUUGAAUUGUUUGCUUUUUGUUGUUGAGUUGUAGGUGUAAUUGCUUUCUUUUUUAAAAUUUUAAUUGGUUUACAAUACUGUGUUAGUUUAAGGUGUAUAGCAUAGUGGUUUGGUAUUUUCUCAGGUUAUAGUCCAUUAUAGAUUAUUACAAGAUAAUGAGUAUAAUUCCCUGUAUAUGUAUAUUCUUGUUGCUUAUUUAUUUUACAUAUACUAGUUUGUAUCUGAUAAUCUUACACCCCUAGUUUGUGCUUCCUUCCUUCACUUUCCCUUUUGGUAACUGCAGGUUUGUUUUCUGUAUCUGUGAGUCUGUUUUCCAUAUACAUUCAUUUGUAUUAUUUUUCAGAUUCCACAUGUAAGUGAUAUACAGUAUUUGUCUUUAUCUGACUUACUUCACUAAGCAUAUUAUUGUCUAGGUUCACCUACUUGCUGCAGAUGGCAGUAUUUCAUUCUUUUUUGUGGUGGAAUAAUAUUCCAUUGUGUGUAUAUAUUAAGAAGGUGUGGGGGGGUGUGUGUUUCUAUCUCACAUCUUCUUAAUCCAGUUGCUGAUGAGCCCUUGGGUUGCUUCUAGGAGUAAUUUGUUAGUAUUUAUUUAUAUUUUCAACUUUUUACUUUGAAAAGUUUCAAGCAUAUACAAAAAUUUAGUGUAAUAAAACUUAUGCACCCGUUACUCAGCUUUAACGAUCAACAAAUAGUUAACUUUUUCCAUUUAUACUGUCUAUUUUGUAACAAAUUCUAGAAAUCACAUCAUUUCAUCCAUAAAUAUUCCUGUCUGUAACUCUAAAAGCCAAUGGUAUGAUAUUUUAAGCAGAUAUUAUCACAAGGAAAUACAUCAUGAGAGCACUUUUGUAUAAUUUGUUAUGAAUGCAGAACCAGGAUUUGUGAGUGAACAGGAGCUGCAGAUCUUCAACUAUCCAUUGUAUCUGACUCUCAGUGAAGUCCUCUAGGAAAUUCUGGCAUUGUCUAAACUGAUGCCACCCAUUGGUUUCCCUACAUAUAACUUCAAAUUACUUUAUCCUGAACAUCACCAAUAUUAUAUUACUCUAUAUUAAAUUAAAUUAUAAAAUAAUCCUACCAUGAGAGUAAUAUUGUAUUUUGCUAACUAAAAGAAGAAAGACUUAGAGAAAUUCAAGUGACAUUCUCUGAUUUACUUGUUCUUGGGCUUUAAAAUGAUUACUCUGAUUUCUUAAUAAUUUAUUCUUAUGUUAUCUUUGAACAGUAUAACUGUUUAGUGGAACCAUAUUCUUGUAGUAAUGGAUAAUGCUCAUUUAGAUAAAGCAACUUUUAACACUUUAAUUAGAGAUUAAUGCAAAGAAUCAACUUGGUGAUCUCAUCCUUAUUCUCAAGUUACUUUUGCCAAUAUACCAGGCAGUUGGUGAAUAUCCUUUAUUGAAUCUGUUGAAUUUUACACACUCCAGUUGUGAUUCAUUGCUUCUUAUGGCUGUGUCGAUAGAUGUGUAAUGUAUGUUGUUGCCUUCAUCAACUGAGUGUUAACAGACACCCCUUUGCACAUCUUGCUGUUACAAUUAGACUCACUCAUUUUUUGUCAGGCAGAUUCUUUACCACUGAGCCACCAGAGAAGCUACAGCUCACUCAUUUUUUUUCUGAAUACCACAACUUAAAAUUUUAUAUACCAUCUCUCAGUAUUGAUCAAAUUUAAGAACAUUUCUAGUGAAAUAUUUUCUUACUGUAUUAUAUAUUUUUCCCCUAGCAGUUUAGUAUAAUCUUUGACAGUUUUUCUUUUAAAUUUGUGUAUUGCAAUCUUAUCAGUUGGUAAUCAGUGGCUUGAAUGUGAUUUGGAGGUCUUUCUGGAGAUUGGAUAGUUUAUGAAUGGAAACAUAAAGGUUGAUGGGACCUCCCUGGUGGUCCAGUGGUUGAGAAUCUGCCUUUUAAUGCAGGGGACACGGGUUGGAUCCCUGGUUGGGGAACUGAGACCCUACAUGCCGUAGAGUAACUUAGCCCGUGCACCGAAACUACUGAGACUGCAGGCUACAGCUAAAGCCCUUACGCUGCAACGAAAUAUCUCCCGUGAUGCAGCGAGGAUCCCUCUUCCUGCAACUAAGACCUGAUGCAGCCAAAUAAAUAAAUAAAAUACAAAGGUUUAGGAGUGGUUUCUGUUUAAUAACAAUUUCAUUUUGUCAUUCAGUACUUAAAUGUGGCAAUAACGUUGAACAUUUCUUGUUACAGAGUGGCACACAGAUACAUUCUUCAUAUUCUAGAGUCAAAUAGUAACUUGUAAAGGAAAGCUUGACUUCCCUCCCAUUCUUUUCCCUAGAGGCGUGACUGCUUUGCAAGUUUGGUGUGUGUUCUUCAGGCUUUUUUCCUUUCCUUAAAAAAAAAUGUUAAAAAUAUUUUUUAAAAAUAAGCUUUUUGUAACAUUUUUAGAUUUUCAAAAACAUUGACAGUAGUAUAGUUUCUGUAUACACCAGACCUAGUUUUGCCACUAAUGUCGUAUAUUAGUAUGAUAUAUUUGUUGAUAAUUAAUGAACAAUUAAUUAAUAUUUAAUUAAACAAUUAAGUUAAUAUUGAUAUGUUAUUAUUAACUGAAAUCCAUACUUUAUUAAGAUUUUCAGUUUUUAUCUAUGUCUUUUUUUUCUGUUUCAGGAGUCUAUACAGAUUCCACAUUACAUUAGGUCAUCAUAUCUCCGUAGUCUUCUCUUGGUUGUGACAGUUUCUCAAGUUUUCCUUGUUUUUGAUGACCUUGACAUUUUUAAGGAGUAUUAAUUAUUUGUAGGAUGUCCUUUCUUUGGGAUUUGUUAGAUGCUUUUCUCAUGAUUAGAUUUGGGGAGGAAGCCACACAGAGGUAAAGUGCUGUUUUCAUCACAUCAUAUCAAGAAUGCAUACUGUCAACAGUAUGUCAAUGUACUGUCAACAACUUAACAUGGUUGAUGUUGACCUUGAUCACCUGGCUGAAGUAGUGUUUGUCAAAUCUCUCUACAUAAAAUGACUCCACCUUCCCCCACCCUUUUGUAUGGUGCUUUUUGGAAGGAAGUCACUGUGUUCACUAUGUACAGCUUAUACUUAAGGAUUAGGGAGUUAAGUUCUACCACCUCAUUGAAGGUAAUGUGUCUACAUUAAGUUAUUUGGAAUUUUUCUGCAUGGGACAUUUGUCUCUUCAUUAUUUAUUCAUUGAUACUGGUAUGGGCUCAUUAAUUUUAUUCUUUGAGUUAUAAGCCAGCACUAUUUUGUUAGGUUGUUCUAGCUUUUGCCAUUGGGAUCUCCUUCAGUUGGUACUUUUAUCCCUUAGAAAGAGCUCCAUCUUUGUGGGUUUUAAAGCACUUCUUAACUUUUUGACACCAGGCUCACCAUGUAUAGUUCCUGAGCCAUCCUGGAUUCAGCUGUUUCUCCAAAGAACUCUGGUUCCUUUUAUUGGAGAAUGAUGUUAGAAACCACGGUCUGUGUUCAUUGCACUUGAAGACUGUUGCUUUUUUUGUUCUCUUUCCUUCCUUUUCAUUCUUCCCUUACUCUUAGUAACCAGCACAGGUUUUUUUUUUUUUUGCAUAUAGUAAGUAUUCAUUAAAUACCUAUUGAAUGAGUUCAAUCCCUGAGAAUGUAUUAUGGUAUGUAAUAUUAAUUAUAUUAAUUAAGAGAAUAAGAUAGUGGAUAAAUGGCAUCGUUUUGAGAUGGAAGAGAUCAUCUCUUCCAGAGAUUUGCAGGAAGCUUCUGAGAAGAUGGAGCUUGAGCUUGGCCUUGAAGGACGGGUAAGAGACUAGGAAAAUGAUGUUAGACAAAAUGCAAAUUCGAGCAAUUUUCUUAUGAGUUCAAAAUGAGUCAUAAAGUGUUGGAGACAACUCGCAACAUCAGCAACAUAUUUGACCCAGAAACUGAUAAUGAAUGUGCAGUGCAGUGGUGGUUCAAGAAGUUUUGCAAAGGGGAUGAGAGCCUUGAAGAUGUGGAGCAUAGUUUCCAGCCAUUGGAAGUUGACAGUGACCAACUGAGAGCAAUCAUUGAAGCUGAUCCUCUUUCAACUACACAAGAAGUUGCCGAAGAACUCAGUGUUGACCAUUCUAUGGUCGUUUGACUUUUGAAGCCAAUUGGGAGGGUGAAAAAGCUCGAUAAGUGGGUGCCUCAUGAGCUGAUUGAAAAUCAAAAAAUCGUCCUUUUGAAACAUUGUCUUCUCUUAUUGUACACAACAACAACAAACCAUUUCUCUAUCAGGUUGUGACGUGUGACACAAAGGGAUUUUAUGCAACCAGUGAUAAGCAGCUCAGUGGUUGGACUGAGAAGAAGCUUCAAAGCAAUUCCCAAAGCCAAACUUGCACCCCAAGAAGGUCAUGGUCACUAUUUGGUGGUCUGCUGCCGGUGUGAUCCAUUACAGCUUUCUGAAUCCCAGCAAAAGCAUUACAUCUGAGAAUUAUGCUCAGCAAAUUGAUGAAAUGCACCAAAAAGUGCAUGCCUGCAACCAGCGUUGGUCAACAGAUGCUGGGCCCAUCAAGGGCCCAGUUUUACUUCAUGACAACCCCUGACUGUACGUCACACAACCAAUGCUCCAAAAGUUGAAUGAAUUGGGCUACAAAAUUUUGCCUCAUCUGCCAUAUUCACCUGACCUCUUGCCAGCUGACUACCACUUCUUCAAGCAUCUUGACAACUUUUUGCUGAGAAAAUGCUUCCACAAACAGCAGGAGGUGGAAAAUGCUUUUCAAGAGUCUGUCAAAUCCCAAAGCAUGGAUUUUUAUGCUACAUGAAUAAACAAACUUAUUUCUCGUUGACAAAAAUGUGCUGAUUAUAAUGGUUCCUAUUUUGAUUAAUAAAGAUGUGUUUGAACUUAGUUAUCAGUUCAGUUCAGUUGCUCAGUCAUGUCCAACUCUUUGUGACCCCAUGGACUGCAGCAUGCCAGGCUUCCCUUUCCAUCACCAACUCCUAGAACUUGCUCAAACUCAUGUCCAUUGAGUCUGUGAUGCUAUCUAACCAUCUCAUCCUCUGUCAUCCCCUUCUUCUCCUGCCCUCAGUCUUUCCCAGCAUCAGGGUCUUUUCCAAUGAGUCAGUUCUUCACCUCAGAUGGCCAAAGUAUUGGAGUUUCAGCUUCAGCAUUAGUCCUUCUAAUGAAUAUUCAGGACUGAUUUCCUUUAGGAUUUAUUGGUUUGAUCUCUUUGCAGUCCAAGGGACUCUCAAGAGUUCUCCAACACAACAGUCCAAGAGCAUCAAUUCUUCGGCGCUCAGUUUUCUUUAUAAUCCAACUCUCAAUGACUACUGGAAAAACCAUAGCUUUGACUAGAUGGACCUUGUUGGCAAAGUAAUGUCUCUGGUUUUUAAUAUGCUGUCUAGGUUUGUCAUAGUUAUAGUGACAUAUAACUAUAUAGAACUUAGUUAUAGUAAGUUAAAAUUCACAGUCCCAAGCUGCAGUUACAUUUGUGUGUGUGGGCUCAGUUGUGUCUGAUUCUUUGCAACCCCAUGGACUGUGGCCCACCAGGCUCCCCUGUCCAUAGGUUUUUCCAGGCAAGAAUAUAGCCCUAAAAAAAAAAAAAAAGAAUAUAGCCCUGUAGUUACAUUUGCACUAACCUAAAUAUUUAGUUUUUAUAUCUUACAUACAGUUAUUCUUACGUAUAGGUUAGAAUCAGAUAUUACGGGCUUGUUACCAAAAACAGCAGUCUCCUGCUUACUUUUGCCUGUUUCUUAGCUCGCUCUUUUGCUGUUUUGUUAUUAUUUGUGAAGGUAAAAAACAUAAGAUAUUACUUCUUGAUUUCAGUUUUCAGCAUUUUAAAAAUUGACCACUAGGAGAUUUAAGGCUUUAGCUCUCUUUUACCACAACUGCAUAUGCUCCCAUUUCCUGUCUCUAUAUCUUUCUAGUAUAGUUAUAUCUGUAUUGUAGUUAGAUCAAUAUUCAGUAUUUACAGUAAUUUAAAAUAAUAAAUAAUGUUCACAGCUGAGAUAUAUUGUAUGCUGUGAUUAGUUUUACUUGCCUAACAGUACCUUAUUUUCCCUCAAGUUAACCACAGUUUUUUGUUUGUUUGUUUGCCUCAUUUUCUGGGUAUAUAUCAUAAAUUGCUUAUAGCAUGACUCAUCUUCAGACUCUCACUUAAACUCAAUUUUUUGAUAUGUUCAAACACAUCAGGUAUUUUAUUGAUUUCAUUGUUGGGUGGGGGAUGUGUGGCUCUUUUUUGGGUUGUUUUUGGCUGCAUGCAGGUGUUAGUUCCCCAACUAGGGAUCAGAUCCAGGCCUGUGUGGUGGAAGCAUGAAGUCUUAACUACUGGAUUGCAAGGGAAGUCCGUCUUUCCUGUUUUUUUGAACUGUACCAUAGGCUGCUUUCAGGGUCUGCUGUUUAGUUGUCAUCCUAAGAUUUCCUUUUCCGGUUUUUAAAAUCGAAGCCCCUUGCCUUGAUUCACACUUUUUUUUUCUUGAUUGUCUCAUUUCUAUAGAAUACACCCUCAGUACUUUUCUGAGAAAGAAUGCAUGAGUGGUUGUUGUUGAGACUUAGAACAUCUAAGACUUUUCUUUUUUAGUCUGCACCCUUACCUUGAUUUCCAGGCUUGUAGGUCGAAAACAGUUUCCUUUAGAAUUUUGAAGCCAUUUGUUCCAUUGCCUUCUGGGUUCCACUAUUAGGAGGACUAAAGCCAGUUGUGACAUCUGAUUCUUUAAAUGUGGCCUACUUUCUGUUUUUCUGGAAGCCUUUAGGAACUUCUUUUGUUCUCAGUGUUGUUAAAUUUCACUGUGUUGUACCUUGGUAUAGAUCUGUUUACGUCUGUCGUGCCAGGCACUCAGUGAGCCCUUUUGGUCUAAAAGCUGAUGUCCUUCAGUUCUGGGAAAUUUUAAAAAGUGUUUGGUUGACCUUUUUUUUCCUCUGCUUUUUUUUUCCCCCCCUUUCUCUCUUUGGAUCUUGAAUCUUUUAUACUAAUUCUUAAAAUUUUUUAAUCUCAUAUUUUUCACCUUUUUCUCAGCUUUCUAUGAGAUAGUCUCAAUUUUCUCUUUGAUAAAAUUUUAAUAUACUUUAAAAAUUUUUCAAAACUCUUUAAUUGCCUCCUCCCCCCCCUUUUUUUUUAGUAGCAGGAAAUGGCAGCUCACUCCAGUAUUCUUGCCUGGAGAAUCCCAUGGACAGAGAAGCCUACCAGGCCACAGCCCAUGGGAUCACAAAGAGUCGGACACUACUGAGUGUCUGAGGACAGAGAAUGGAGUUCAGCAUAUAGUAGAUGCUCAGUAAAUGUUAGAAUCUUUCCUUUAGUAGCACACUGUCCAUGUUUUAUGGUUUUAAUUUUUUUCUCUUGUUUCUCUGAAAUUAUUGAAAAUUUUUUCUUUUUAAAGUUCAUGCUUUCCUGCAUAGUUCUUUCCUCUGUGUUGCCUUUAUUCUCCUUGCUUUGGUCUUUUAUGAUCUUUGAGUUAGAAGUAGGUGAUCUUUGCCUGCUUGGUUAAAAGUACACAGCUGGUAGAGAAAUUUGGAAGCUCACUGUGGUUGAUGGAGCUUCUUGACAGACCUUACUACCUUUUAAUCUAACUAGAUUGUUUCUUUGAGUGACAGUGUUUUUCUGUGUCUUUUCCUAGGCUGGUCAGUUUCCCCAGCGCUUAGGCCUGGCUGCUACUAUUCUAAGAGCUGAUUGGCAGAGGUAGACGGGGGGAUCUCAAGGUUUAGUACCUAAGUCUCUCACUUAAUCACUCCUUUCUGACAAUCCAUUCUUUCUCCAAAUCUCUGGUGUCUCCAGUCCAGACUUCUACUGCCUCACACUCUCCAGAGAGUAAACCUCCAGUCUCUUAAUGGGGAUUCUGGGAGCUGUGUGUGUUUAACUGGGUCUCCAUCUUCUCUUUCUGCUUUUAAAUCUCAUUUUCACUCUUCCUUUCUCUGGUACCUGCUACCACCGGUUCUUAAGCGUUGAGAGGGUACGGUGCAAGAGAGGUUGCUUUCCUGCUUUCUGGUUUAGGAUUCAGGUUUCUUGGGUCUGCUGUGUAAGUUCUCACCUAUCCUGCUUCUAACUUGCAGGAUUUUAUUGCUGCUUCCUCUCCUGUUAGUAAAGUUUUGUUAAAUUUGAGGCAAAAAAGAAAUUAAAAAAUGACUAACAUUUAUAUUUGAGAGGGUUUUGAAAGGGACAGAGGGGCUUUUCUGGUGACUCCGGUGGUAAAGAACCUGCCUGCAGCGCAGGAGAUGCAGGUUCGAUCCCUGGGUUGGGAGGAUCCCCUGGAGGAGGAAAUGGCAACCCACCUCAGUAUUCCUGCCUGGAAAAUCCAAUGGACAGAAGAGCCUGGUGAGCUACAGUCCAUGGGGUCACAGAGUUGGACAUGACUGAGUGACUAACACUUGCACUUUUUUUGAAGGGGUGAGGCAGAUCUGUGUGUUCAAUUUUUAACUGGAACCUUAUGAUUGUGAUUACUUCUUUUGAUUAUCUUUUCUUUGAUAAGCUUUUGACUUAAUGAGGUCAAAAGCAUCAGUCAUGGCCUGAUAAAGUCUUUGAGUGAUGUUAAUUAUAAAAUGCAAGCAGUUACACACUUGCAUAGUAGAACAUUCUGUGAUGAGGUAAAAGCAAAGAUAAGAAAUGCUUAAUGCAUCUCCCUCUUGGUUCUUAUUGUUCUUCCAAGAGAAGGAAAACUCCAGACAAGGCCUGAGUUACAGCAAACUUUUCCCGCCUAUAAUCUCUGCCCCAUUGUGCUCUACUGUAAGCAUCAUCAUCUGAUGAUAAGCAAGUGUAACUGAGAGAACUCUGGUAGCUCAUGGGGCCCGCAGAGCCAGGAAGGCUGCAGUUAGCAUGAGUGUCUGGAUUCUGGACAUGUCUGUCACUUUCAGGUUUUGUGUAUUUGAAUAUACUCUUUUUAAUUGAGACUAUUUCAUUUUUUGAUAUACCAAUUGGUUGUUUUUAGAACGGAGGACUUUUUAGGAAUUACAGUGUGAUCAAUUAAAA